UCCCCGCUAGCAUCUCCUUUAACGUACAUCAUUCACUCUCACAACGCGUUUUGUCGUGUUGCUACGGCUAAAAAAAACGGAGUGUGGUAAAACGUUACAUUAGUGUCGUGUGCGGCGGGGAAAAGACGAGUAUUGAGCCCACACGGCGGCAGGUUUGGCGGUAAAAGUGCUGCAGUGAGAAAAGAAAUUCGCUCGCCCACCUCGUCCUGCUGCGGGGGAUUAUUGGCUCUCUGCUUCGGCUGCUCCUUGCUGGCUGUCAUGGUGGAAAGUCCAGAUCGGUCCAAUGUGUGCUUUACCGCCGCAAAGCAGGAUGCUAAAGAUUCUCAUCAACUGAGGAGGGUGAGGAGGAGGAGGAGGAGGAUGUCGUCAGCAGUGAGAUGCAGGAGAACAUCUGACCAGAGGACAAGAGCAGCUCCUUCUAGAACACCUUGAUGUCCGCGCCUUGGAGGAGGUGUGCUUGAAGCUCAUCGAGAGAAUGCCAAGAGUGUGCAAAGCAGAAUGUAUUAACCCUUAAAGAAGAUAUUCAAACAAUGCUCCUGCUGCCACACAGUCUGCUGUGCGCUCCUCUGAGCGCGCCUCUGGACACGCUCUCCUGCAGCAAUCAACACACCUGCCACUGAUGAGAACUCCACGCCCUUCAUAAGCCAGUGGAUCCUGCGUUCCAGUGCCAGAAUGUAGCUACUUGUUUCGUACAGUAAGCCCUACACGUCUCCAGCUCUCCUCGCCUAUGUGCUUCCUUGCUCUCUGUGUUUCCCCUCUGUGCUCAUCGUCUUGUGUCCUGUGUCGUCACCCUGCAGCUCCUCUUCGUUCCCUGGAUUUGAGCUGUGUGUCUCGUCUCCCCGUAUUCCCUCCAGUCUUCUUGCUGCCUUUCUGGAUUUCGACCCCUCGCCUGGACAUGGAUUUUGACGCCUUGCUCCUGCCCACGGACCUCUUGCUUGCCCAGGGACCUCCGAAAUUGCCUUGCUCCUUCUGUACUUCUUCACCUUCCUCAACACGCACCUUCAACAACUCCUGGUAACACUCAGCUAAACACAACACAUAGUCACACCACACGUAUUGGGAUUACUUGCACACGUCAUUCUAUUAUUUUAAUAAACACGCCUAAGGCUA